AAAAAAAACCUCAGUCUCAGUUUGCCCUUGUCUCCUUAUCUCCCCCGACGGUGCCUCUCCAUUAUGUCGCCUCUUAUUUCCUCUGCCAGCAGAGUUUACGCUAUCUCUAGUAUUCUCAUUGUCCAUAUCUGUAACCUCUUUUUUCUUCAUUCUUCUUUUCCCUUAAAGAACGCCUCUCUUCUCUUUUUUUUUUUUGACCAAAAUCCUAACCCAAAAUCCAGGCAACGGUCGAACCUUUUAAGCCGCCGUCGAUCACCUAAAAAGGCUCAAUCAUCGAAAAAGGCUGUCGCCUAAUCCAAGAUUUUUCUGUGACUUAGGCCUUGUCAAACAGAAUAGAAUAAACCUAAAGCCUAAAAGAAUUAAAUCAUCGCAUCUUUCACUGCCACAGUUACCGUUUACUAGCCUUGGCCCUCCCUGACUCUUCUUCAUCAUUCCUUUCCCAGAGUCCACAUGGAAACUUUAGAGGAAAAUAUCCAAUAAUCAUGUUCACUCUAUUUAGGAAUUGUAGGGGUUGUGGUCUUUAGCUGGGUAUGGAAAUAACAACGAUUCUAUGGUCUUUAGCUGGAUAUGGAAAUAACAAUGAUUCUAUGUUAAGGAAUAAAUAAAGACCGUUGUUCUCAAGAUUGAUAUGUCAUGCCAAGGCAGUAGUGGAACUAUGAAGAGAGUUCUGGGAAAAAUGAGAGGUUGAUUUCCAUCCAAAUGCCGUCAACUUAGUUACAAGGAUAACAGGCUAUGCAAGAUUGAAGAUAUUUACUGAUCUUUUUACCUUUUCCACAUUUGGUCCUGUUCAAUAUGCUACCUCUUGACCCUAUGAUCACCCGGAAUCUUUUCAUAAUGGUUGCAUAUAAGUUUUUUGAGCAUUUUUAUUUAUUUUCCAUGUUUGUAUUUAAUUUUCAUAAGCCAAUUUUAUUUAAAUGAAUGUUUGUCUUGGAUUCAUUCUUUUUUUGGAUAGUAGUUUGUAUUUUGUUAUGCUAUUCUUCUAACAUUACUUUUUAAAUUUCAUGUC